GAACUCUUUAAGUAGUCCGCAUCACUUCAACGAGAUCAAAUUGGUCCUUUUUUGUGCCAUUUCGGACCGUAGAACUGUUGACCGAUGCCCAGCCCAAAUCAAAAGUGUUCAAUGGCUAGCCGAUAUUUAUGUUCUUAAGUACUUUCUAGGGAACAGAACAGCUAAGGGGUAAAAAUGUCCAUGACUGUUUGAUUGAUAUGAUCAAAACAGCACAUGAAUGAUCUUAAAUCUUGACGUAAAUGACAAAAACCAAUUUCCAAGCAUAUGACACAAAAUGUAAAUGCAAACACCAUAAGAACUCCUCAAAUUACAAAAAGCCAACACCACAGCACCAACAAAUUAGGUUGAGAAGAUAUUGUUUGAGGCAUCACUUCUUCAGCACAUUGUACAAAUAGGCAGCAAUUCCCAGGAUUAUGCACAACAAAAUAAUAUCAAUGCAGAAGUUUCGGCUAGAUCUCAACUGAUUAACAGUGUCUUUGAGUCGAACAUUGGUGUUUUUAAGGUCAGCUGUUGCCUUGUCUACCUUUGUGUCGAUUUCAUCCAUCAAAGGAACUUGCCUAUCCAACUCCUCAUUCAUGUCAUGAGCCAUGUUUUUCAGAGUAUCCAAACCUUCUGAAAUCAUAUCCAAACCUUGAUCCUGCUUCAUUCUUCGCAUUUCAUACUCCUGCCUGAAUUGACUAGAUGUCUCACUUUCUUGAAAGUAUUCACUAUCAAAACGACCAUCUGAAUCAAAUUUGAUUUCAGUACGGGAUGCUGAAGCCCCCCAACCUCCAGUUUGUUUGGGAGCAGCUGCAGUUCCAUCAGGUAUUGCUUCAAUCCUAUCUGGUAAUGCAAGGACCAAAUCAUUACGGGCAGCAAGCUCUUCUGUCGAGAGUCCUUUAACCUUCUUUAUAGCCAAUCUCUGCAACUUAGGGACCUCCUCUAGCAAUUUCGCCUUUGUCCGACGAAUCUCCGCAUUCAAAGCAACAGCAGAUGCCUUAUUUUUCUCUUUUGAAGCAAGCUCCGCUUUCUGAAGAGCGGCUUCGAUAUCAGCCUCAACAACAGCGUAGAGGCGAGCGAAGGCAUCGUCGCCGGAGACAUUGAGAUCCUUUUGCUUUUCGACGUCGUAUUUGUCAUACUUCUUGCAGAUCGCAUCAACUCUGGUUAAAAUGUCGAUGACGCUCAUCUUGAAGCUGAAAGAUACGUACAAUUUCUUUGCUGGGUAAAGGAAUUUGGUAUUUGGCUUGGCAGUCAAGGGAAUAGCACGUAGCCUUUCAAGUUUCAACCAUCAAUGAACCACCAGCGACCAGCCUGUAAGCAACUAAGCAGUAGGCAAC
rnacentral:misc_RNA from 1 species